CUCGCCUACAUGAAGUCGGAAUUGCUAGUAAUCGCGGAUCAGCAUGCCGCGGUGAAUACGUUCCCGGGCCUUGUACACACCGCCCGUCACACCAUGGGAGUCGGUAACACCCGAAGCCUGUAGUCUAACCGCAAGGAGGACGCAGUCGAAGGUGGGAUUGAUGACUGGGGUGAAGUCGUAACAAGGUAAC
rnacentral:rRNA from 1 species